GACGAACCGUGCGAACGCUGUUCGGAAUCACUGGGCUUAAAGGGCGCGUAGGCGGGCAGUCAAGUCAGGGGUGAAAUCCCACGGCUCAACCGUGGAAGUGCCUUUGAUACUGGCUGUCUCGAGGGAGGUAGGGGCGUGCGGAACUUCCGGUGGAGCGGUGAAAUGCGUAGAUAUCGGAAGGAACGCCGGUGGCGAAAGCGGCGCGCUGGACCUCUUCUGACGCUGAGGCGCGAAAGCCAGGGGAGCAAACGGG
rnacentral:rRNA from 1 species